AAAAGACCUUUAUCACUCUCAUUACUUUGGAAAUUCUGAGGAUUUUAUGAGGUCUGUGCCAGAAAGAGGGAUAAAGACCAAAUAUGUACUUCUUAUUAUAAAUCAUAACAUCACAGUAACCUUAGUUGGAAAUAGGGUCCUUGUAGAUGUAAUAAUGUUGAGAUGAAGCCACAUCGGAUUAGAGUGGGUGGUCUUCUAAGAAGAGGGAAAUUUGGAAACAGAAACAUAGAGAAGGCAGCCAUGUGAGACAGAAGCAAAGACUGGAGUUGUGCAUCUACAAGCCAAGGAAUGCCAAGGAUUGCUGGUGUAGGGGAGGAAGACGUUUCCUCUACCCACUCGGGGUCCUUCUGGCAAGAUAACAAAUUAAAUUCACAUGAGACAGAAUAACAGGAGAAAAUUAAACACAGCUUUAUAACAUGUAUACAUGGGAGAGACCCAGAAAAACUGAGUAACUCGCCAAAAUGGUGGAAGCUUUCACCUUAAAUACCAUCCUCAGCUCAAGACAAAGAAGAAUGUUGGGGUGGGGGGGAAUCAGUUAUAGGAGAUUACCAGAAAAGCACUGUGAACAAGAGUAAGGUUAUUAGGCAGAUUUAAGUCCUUGCCUUCUGUGUUGAUUAGAGUUUCUAGAGAUAAGGUCAUAGCCCCUUCUUUCUGGUACAGAGAGGGAGACACCUUUACAGAUGGAGAUUUCCCUUACAAAUGUAAAUAUCUUUUUACAAAGUGUUAAAUUAUACUUUUCAGAGUUUCUCUCAUGUCUGCAGUUUUUAAAAGUAACCAGCUGAAAAUAAUCCUCAUGCUAAAGAAACAUAUCUUGGAGUAGCCAAUUCCAGUCCCCCACACUAGCAUCCAUGGGAAGCCAGGGAGAGGAAAGAAGGAUUUUUUCUUAGAUAAUCCAGAGGGAGCAUGGCCUUGCCAACAUCUUGACUUCAGACUUCUAGUUUCCAGAACUGUGAGAAAAUGUUUCUGUUGUUUUAAACCACCCAGUUUGUGAUUUUGUUAUGACAGCCCUAGAAAACUAAUAAACUAAGGGAAUUAACACCUGCUAUUUCUCUUUUUGAGUAAAUGUCAUUUAGAUAGCCCAGGAAAUGAUUCAACAGACAUAAAUUUAGUAUAAAUUAGGAUUGAAUGCCAAAAGGAUUAGGAGGGAACAGAGAGAUCGGAGGACAAGGAAAUUACAGAAUUGAAUAUUUGAUGAAAGCUAAUUUCUUAAGGAAUUCUACUCACUGCUGCUGAUCCUGCCUCAUUUCCCGUCUUCAUCUUUCCCUGCUUCCACAUGGUGGGAUCUGUCAGUUCCCCAGCUAUCCAUCUCAAAACCAUACCUGACCAGUUUGAAGGCAGCAUGAGCUCUAUAAUUUGCUACAAUUCAUAAACAGAAGAGAGAAGGGGAGGGAAAGCCAGUGUAUAAUAUGCAAGGCAUUAAGAUCAAUUUCUCUGUAUCCAGUGUGACCUUUGCCUCAGAGCUGAGCUCGUUUUGGAGCUGUCCUUGGUGCUUACCUCAGACCUGGAACUCAAUUUUCAGGACUGAUCCAGCCUGCAGUUUCCUCAUAAUGAGGAGUCUAUUUUUCAUGAACCAGGUGCCUCUCUGCCCACCUUGGAACCCUGCCACUAUCCCUACAUGGACUUGCAGGAAAAUAUGCCAAUUCCACCCUCCCUUGCUCUCCUCUGCUAUGUUUUUCUCUCUCACUCUCUCCAUAAUUCUUCCUCAGUACAGUUUUCUUGGCAUAUCUCCCUACUUAGACAUACAUCCAAACAGUAAUUUCUAUGAUGAGUGUAAGUGGUUGGUAUGGCAAGAAAAAACACAGAGCUGGAUGUUAGAAAUCCUGGAUUUUAGAUUUUAGUUAUGGCUCUAAUAUUAACGAGCCCUGUGACUUGACUAAGUCAUGUAAAAUCUCAGAAAUCUGCUUUCCCAUUUAUAAAGUUGAGAUAAUCACAUAAUCUCUAUAUUACCACAGAGGGUAGUUGUAAGGCUCACAUAAGAUGAUAAUAUGUGAAAACUCUGGAAAAUAAAUGCAAUUAUCCAUAUUUGCAAGGUAUUUCAUGUUUUGGUUAAAAUGAUCAAUAAUUACUAUGACCUUUCUUGGCAUCUUUAAUUCCUAAAUCCUAUGAGAUGGAAAAUGAAGCUUUAAUAUGAUUUUAGAUAAAAUUAUUUCUUCAUCUAGUAAAUCAAUGAAUACUGAAAUGGAGCUAUGGUGCACUGACGGCUUUGAAGUUUAGAGCUAUAUUAUUAGGACUAGGAAAUACGAUAAGAAGAAAGUGAGAGGAGAUCAGGUAUUGCAAACUAGUUUUUGUUUUUUCCC
ensembl:lncRNA